UGACCUCGCACCUGCCCGCCGCCCCGGGGCCCUCGCCCUUCCCCUCGGCCCCUCGGCCCCUCGGCAGAGCGGCCCGGGCCUCGACGCGGGGUGCGGAUGGCGAGCCCAGCCCCCUUCCCGGGCCCACCGCCUUCUUCUCCCGGAGCUCGACCUGGUCCUCUGGGACGACCUGUGGGCUCACCAGGCCAGCAGCCCCCUCGGGGCGCCCAGCGCUCCAGGAGGAGCACCUACCCAGGGGUGCGGAGCUGGAGGCGCUGAGAGGGCAGAGAGGCCUGGACCCUUUCCUGCAGCCCCCGGCGCACAGCCCCUUGGGCUAAGGAGAUCUGAUGCGGGGUCACGCCAGGAGAGGUGCUUCCAAGUGAGAUGUGCGCUGUUGGGGACCUCACAGCACCCCUGGGUGACCUGCCCUGGGAGUUAGCCAAGGUCCCGCUAACUCGAACACCAGCUGCUGCGCCCUGUCCCAGAACCUAGGAACAGCGUGCCGACCGGGAGCAGCCCGCACGUGUGAGGCCUGGCCGCCAACGCCUUUAUUUUACACGCUGAAACCCCCAUCUCUUCCCUGGGUGCGUGGGAGGUCGUCCUGCUAGAGAAAUUACCUUUGAAUGUACACACGACCCAGGAGAAGAGCAGGUGGCCUCAGCUGAAUGUCCCACACCUCGCCCUGCGCUUUGUCCAAGAUGAGUCAAAGUUUGUGGCCCAGAGAAGGAAGCUGCAGCGCCCCCGGAAAGGAGCCUGCGGCUGAGUAGCCGGGAAAGCAUCUGAAUGAGGAGACAGUGGGCCAGAUUCCCAAGGGAAGUGGUGCCGCCCCACAGCUCGCGGCACUGGACUGCUGAGGCGGCUCAGCCAGCCCUGGGGCAGCACUGAAGGGAGUGUGGACAGGUCUGGCCCAUGUUUUGUCUGUGAUUGCUGGGCGGGGUCUCUCGCCUUCUCCCCCAAAUAAAACAUAUCCUGACUUAGCA